AAAAUCUUAUUUAAUUUUAAACUGCAAAUUUAAAAAUGAAUCAAUUCUAAG
rnacentral:tRNA from 1 species